rnacentral:lncRNA from 1 species
GCAAAAUAAUGCCCUCUGCCCGAGAUGUCCAUUCCCAAUCCUCAGAACCUGGGAAUGCAUUACCUUACAUAGCAAAGGCAAUUUACAGAGGUACGGUGCCCCACCCAGAUCCUGUCUUAAGGGCUGGAGCACUCAUUUCCCAGCUGCUGGAAUAUUAGCUGCUAUUGGCUCACAGUUGCAUCCCCCACUGGGAAUUCCCUCCACUCACAGGGAACUGUCUCGCCCACGGUUACUCCUCCUUCUGGGGGCAGCCAAGGACCCAUGACUGCCUAAUGUGGUAACAUGAAGCCCUGACCCCUGGCCUGGAUUUGGGAUAAGUCUGAAAGGCCAUCCCAGCUCCCCGUAAAACUGAAAAAGAGUCUUGGAUGCAGUGACAGUGACUGAACAAUUCUGCAAGGUUGAAGGCUAAGAAUAAGGCUUCUGUUACCAAAUAGAGGGAUGAAGAGAAGAAAUUUAGCAAGAACAAAGUUUGGAAAGAACGGCAUUUCCCAAAUUUAUUUCCUGGGAACUAUGUAUGCCUUUGGAAUGCUUCAUGGCCUGAGAAAUGUUCCCGCACAGAAUCAUGUGUAUAACCAAGGGAAAGAGAACAGCAAGGCAGCAAGAUUCUUCAAGUGGCUAUUUCCCCACCUGCAGACAUGUCUCUACCAAGAUCUUUCACCUCAGGCAGGCAGUUAUCAAACUGUGCUGCCCGAUCCUUAUGGAUCUUCACAAUCCUGAUUUAGACCAAGAAGAGGCUGCCCUAGCCAAAUUGCCACAGCCAGAAGGUGUGGACUAAUGGAUGUAGAAUAAUAAGCACAGAGCUGGAGAUAUUCGGCAACAGAAUGGUAGGACUCAGUAGGGACAACACUGGGAAAUCUGCAGAGUUGCAGCAGCUCGGAGCCUGCCACACAUGGAAGGAAAUAUGACGCUCCCCAGCAAUAUGUGCUCCCCUGGAAGAAGAGCUGAUGACUACCCAAAGGCGGGGCAGACAACUUGGCUUUUCUUCCUGUUGGUUUAUUCUUUGUUCUGAUGUGGCUGAUGGCAUUUUUAUGAGUCAAAAAAGCUUGAUGGUUGGGGAUGAACUGGUAUUAUGGUAUCACAAUAAACUCUGAAUCGCAAAAACUUCCUGAUGUGUUUGCUCAACUGUGAUUCUAAAAGAGCUUUGUAUCCUCUGAAAAGAGGCUCAGUACCUUCACACACUGCAGUUAGGAAGACUAACUGAGAU